rnacentral:rRNA from 1 species
UACGGAGGGUGCAAGCGUUGCUCGGAUUUACUGGGCGUAAAGAGCACGUAGGCGGCUAAGUAAGUCUGAUGUGAAAGCCCACGACUCAAUCGUGGAAGUGCAUUGGAUACUGCUUGGCUAGAGUAUAGGAGGGGUAGGCGGAAUUCCAGGUGUAGAGGUGAAAUUCGUAGAUAUUAGGAAGAACACCAGUGGCGAAGGCGGCACUCUGGUACGGUAUUGACGCUGAGGCGCGAAAGCGUGGGGAGCAAACAGG